GACGAACGCUGGCGGCGUGCCUAAUACAUGCAAGUAGAACGCUGAAGGAGGAGCUUGCUUCUCUGGAUGAGUUGCGAACGGGUGAGUAACGCGUAGGUAACCUGCCUGGUAGCGGGGGAUAACUAUUGGAAACGAUAGCUAAUACCGCAUAAGAGUAGAUGUCGCAUGACAUUUGCUUAAAAGGUGUAAUUGCAUCACUACCAGAUGGACCUGCGUUGUAUUAGCUAGUUGGUGAGGUAACGGCUCACCAAGGCAACGAUACAUAGCCGACCUGAGAGGGUGAUCGGCCACACUGGGACUGAGACACGGCCCAGACUCCUACGGGAGGCAGCAGUAGGGAAUCUUCGGCAAUGGACGGAAGUCUGACCGAGCAACGCCGCGUGAGUGAAGAAGGUUUUCGGAUCGUAAAGCUCUGUUGUAAGAGAAGAACGAGUGUGAGAGUGGAAAGUUCACACUGUGACGGUAUCUUACCAGAAAGGGACGGCUAACUACGUG
rnacentral:rRNA from 1 species